rnacentral:rRNA from 1 species
GUCUGGUUAAUUCCGAUAACGAACGAGACUCUGGCUUGCUAAAUAGUCGCGCCGGCCGCCGAGCCGAGCGAUGACUUCUUAGAGGGACAAGUGGCGUUCAGCCACGCGAGAUUGAGCAAUAACAGGUCUGUGAUGCCCUUAGAUGUUCGGGGCCGCACGCGCGCUACACUGAAGGGAUCAGCGGGUGUACGUCCUUGGCCGGAAGGUCUGGGCAAUCCGUUGAACCUCAUUCGUGAUUGGGACAGGGAGUUGCAAUUGUCUCCCUUGAACGAGGAAUUCCCAGUAAGCGCGAGUCAUCAG